rnacentral:precursor_RNA from 1 species
UAUUAGGAUUCCCCAAGUUGGGAAGCAACCGCGAAAGCG